AGCGUAGCGAAAGUGCCUCUGAGAGGGGGACUCGUUACGAAAGGGACGAUAUUACCGCAUACGCCCUGUGGGGAUGAGAGGGGGAGCUUCGGACCUCGUGCGAUAAGAGAGCGCUAGAUAUGAUUAUAUAUAUGGGGGGGGAAAGGCCCACCUAGGGGACGAUCUGUAGCGGUGCUGAGAGGAUGAUCCCCCACACUGUGACUGAGACACGGGCCACACUCCUACGGGAGGGAGCAGUGGGGAAUAUUGGACAAUGGGCGAAAGCCUGAUCCACCCAUGCCGCGUGUGUGAAAAAAGCCUUCUGGUUGUAAAGAACUUUUUUGUGGGAGGAGAAUACUGUGGGUAUUACCCCCGGAUCUUGUGAGUACCUCUGAAAAAAACACCCCGUAAAUCUACGGCCCCAGCCCCGGGAAUAUACGAGGGGCGAGCGUUAAUCGGAAUAUCUGGGCGUAAAGCGCGCGCGCAGGGGGUUGAUAUAAGUCUGAUGAAAUAUCCCGGGCUCUCAACUCUGGAAAUCUGCAUUGGAAGACUGAAACUAUAGAGUGUGAGAGA
rnacentral:rRNA from 1 species